rnacentral:rRNA from 1 species
UCCCUCUUUCUCUAUCUUUAGGCGGAAUCACUGGGCUUAAAGCGUGUGUAGGUGGAUGCCUAAGUACCUUGUGAAAUCCCACAGCUUAACUGUGGAACUGCUUGGUAUACUGGGUGUCUUGAGUCACUCAGGGGCGAGCGGAACAAAUGGUGGAGCGGUGAAAUGCGUAGAUAUCAUUUGGAACGCCAAUGGUGAAAACAGCUCGCUGGGGGUGCACUGACACUGAGACACGAAAGCCAGGGGAGCGAACGGG